rnacentral:rRNA from 1 species
CAGCCGCCGCGGGAAAACGAAGGGGGCUAGCGUUGUUCGGAUUUACUGGGCGUAAAGGGCGCGUAGGCGGACUGAUAAGUCAGGGGUGAAAUCCCAAGGCUCAACCUUGGAACUGCCUUUGAUACUGUUUGUCUUGAGUUCGAGAGAGGUAAGCGGAACUGCGAGUGUAGAGGUGAAAUUCGUAGAUAUUCGCAAGAACACCAGUGGCGAAGGCGGCUUACUGGCUCGAAACUGACGCUGAGGCGCGAAAGCGUGGGGAGCAAACAGGAUUAGAGACCCCCGUAGUCCCUGUCUCUUAUAC